rnacentral:rRNA from 1 species
CCUACGGGAGGCAGCAGUGAGGAAUAUUCCACAAUGGGGGAAACCCUGAUGGAGCGAUGCCGCGUGCAGGAAGACGCUUUUCGGAGUGUAAACUGCUUUUAACAAGGAAGAUUAUGACGGUACUUGUAGAAUAAGGACCGGCUAACUACGUGCCAGCAGCCGCGGUAAUACGUAGGGUCCAAGCGUUAUUCGGAAUUACUGGGCGUAAAGCGUUCGUAGGCGGUUUGAUAAGUUGGAUGUGAAAUCCUGUGGCUCAACCACAUGGACUGUGUCCAAAACUAUCUGACUAGAGCAUAGUAGAGGCAAGUGGAAUUUGCGGUGUAGGAGUGACAUCCGUAGAUAUCGCAAGGAACACCAAUGGCGAAGGCAGCUUGCUGGGCUAUUGCUGACGCUCAGGAACGAAAGCGUGGGGAGCGAACGGGAUUAGAUACCCCGGUAGUCCACGCCGUAAACGAUGAUCACUAGCAGUAUGGAGAUUCGACCCUCUGUGUUGCACAGCUAACGCGUUAAGUGAUCCGCCUGGGGGAGUACGGGGCGCAAGCUUAAAAACGUCAAAAGAUAGUACGGACGUGUAGGAGUCGCGACCGGAGGACCACCGAGGGAGGGUUAAGG